rnacentral:tRNA from 1 species
GCAUCAGUGGUUCAGUGGCAGAAUUCUUGCCUUGCAUACAGAAGACUCGAGUUUGAUUCCUGGCCAAUGCA